rnacentral:rRNA from 1 species
CCUACGGGUGGCAGCAGUGGGGAAUAUUGGGCAAUGGAGGCAACUCUGACCCAGCAACGCCGCGUGAAUGAUGAAGGUCUUCGGAUUGUAAAGUUCUUUUCUAAGGGAAGAAGAAAGUGACGGUACCUUAGGAAUAAGCCUCGGCUAACUACGUGCCAGCAGCCGCGGUAAUACGUAGGAGGCAAGCGUUAUCCGGAUUGACUGGGCGUAAAGGGGGCGUAGGUGGUUUGACAAGUUAGUAGCGAAACUCCGGAGCUCAACUUCGGAACUACUACUGAAACUGUUGGACUUGAGUGCAGGAGAGGCAAUCGGAAUUCCUAGUGUAGCGGUGGAAUGCGUAGAUAUUAGGAGGAACACCAGUGGCGAAGGCGGAUUGCUGGACUGUAACUGACACUGAGGCACGAAAGCGUGGGGAGCAAACAGGAUUAGAUACCCUGGUAGUC